UACUUAGGGUGCAAGCGUUGUCCGGAAUUAUUGGGCGUAAAGAGCUCGUAGGCGGUUUGUCGCGUCUGCUGUGAAAACUGGAGGCUCAACCUCCAGCCUGCAGUGGGUACGGGCAGACUAGAGUGCGGUAGGGGAGAUUGGAAUUCCUGGUGUAGCGGUGGAAUGCGCAGAUAUCAGGAGGAACACCGAUGGCGAAGGCAGAUCUCUGGGCCGUAACUGACGCUGAGGAGCGAAAGCAUGGGGAGCGAACAGG
rnacentral:rRNA from 1 species